AGUGACAUCGCCGGUGUUUGCGGGUGGUUGUUGCUCUCGGGGCCGUGUGGAGUAGGUCUGGACCUGGACUCACGGCUGCUUGGAGCGUCCGCCAUGAGGAGAAGGAAGAAGGAGAGACAACCAUCUUGCAACUAGAAAAAGAUUUGCGCACCCAAGUGGAAUUGAUGCGAAAACAGAAAAAGGAGAGAAAACAGGAACUGAAGCUACUUCAGGAACAAGAUCAAGAACUGUGUGAAAUUCUUUGUAUGCCCCACUAUGAUAUUGACAGUGCCUCAGUGCCCAGCUUAGAAGAGCUGAACCAGUUCAGGCAACAUGUGACAACUUUGAGGGAAACAAAGGUACACUGCCUACAUUUGUUCUUCCUAAAAGUCACUUUAGUUUUCCUCUAGGUAUCUUGUAAUUGCUUUGUUUUAAAGGCUUCUAGGCGUGAGGAGUUUGUCAGUAUAAAGAGACAGAUCAUACUGUGUAUGGAAGAAUUAGACCACACCCCAGACACAAGCUUUGAAAGAGAUGUGGUGUGUGAAGACGAAGAUGCCUUUUGUUUGUCUUUGGAGAAUAUUGCAACACUACAAAAGU
rnacentral:sRNA from 1 species